GGGCAGGAUGUGUGAAGUAGGCCCACCGCGCAAGCGCAGUGUUCCUCUUCACUUUCCCUUAUUCGCGCCUACGGCGCUCAACGGGCAUCCUGCUCUGCGAGGCA
rfam:Ottowia sp. oral taxon 894 strain W10237, complete genome.